rnacentral:lncRNA from 1 species
AACAACAAAUUCAUCAACUAUAAGAUAAACUAUAUCAGUGUAUGACAAAAUUACCUCAAUCACAAAAAAUUUCUUCUUUUUCAAAGGUUUUUGACCCUUUUUUAAGCAAAUCUGCAGACGUCCUUCAAAUUUUCGAAAGUUUCACCUCCAAUCUCUUGUAGUGUGUCUAAUCUUCAGUAGUCGAACAAAACUCUCAAAUCUCUUGUAUAGAACAAAAGGGUUUCAAAUCGAGUAAAGAUUAAGUGUCAAUUUUGUAAGAGAAAGAAGAUGGGUUUUUUGUUUAUCACCAUAAUUGCAACCUGAAGGUGGGUUAGGAGAAAGAAGAUGGUUUUUUUAGGUCUUCAGUGAAUCUCCCCUGUUUUUCUUCUGUAAUUAGUACAACUAAAUUGGGGGUUUUUUAUUCUAGUAUAGGAUUAAAAGAUAUAUGCUUAAAACGUUAUUCCCAAUAACGUAUUAGAGUUAAAACGUGAUUCCCAGUUACGUGUUAUUAUUUAACGCCGUUAGCAGUCCGUCUUUUUCUCAUUAAAUUUUUUAAAAUAAAAUAAAGCAUAAAACGUUACUGUGGACUACGUUUAUACUAGUUUCGUAAAAAAAUUUAAAAACAUACUAUUUUGGUGAAUUGAUUUAAACAAUGGCUUAUUUUGGUCAAAACUUC